rnacentral:rRNA from 1 species
GUGCCAGCCGCCGCGGUAAUACCGGCAGCUCAAGUGAUGUCCCAUAUUAUUGGGCCUAAAGCGUCCGUAGCUGGCCGACCAAGUCUCCCGGGAAAUCCACCCGCCCAACGGGUGGGCGUCCAGCGGAAACUGUCCGGCUUGGGGCCGGAAGACCCGAGGGGUACGUCCGGGGUAGGAGUGAAAUCCUGUAAUCCUGGACGGACCGCCGGUGGCGAAAGCGCCUCGGGAGGACGGACCCGACAGUGAGGGACGAAAGCCAGGGUCUCGAACCGGAUUAGAAACCCCAGUAGUCC